rnacentral:misc_RNA from 1 species
UCUUGCUUUCGCUCUUCCUUCUGAUGAGGUGGGCGUGGGAAUGGGAAUUGACGUUCAUCUUGUUCCUCAUCCUCAUCCUCAUCUUCCUCUUCACUUCCCUUUUCUCCGCGUUUUUCCUCCUUGCGAGGCCAUUCCUGUUCCUCUCUCUGCUCGUGCUCUUCUUCUUGACGAGGUUGUGGGCGUGGGAAUGGGAUUGGACGUGGUUGCUCAUCUUCGUCUUCCUCCUUCUCACCGGGUUGCUGAGGUUCCCUCU